AGGCCUAACACAUGCAAGUCGAGCGGAUGAAGAGAGCUUGCUCUCUGAUUCAGCGGCGGACGGGUGAGUAAUGCCUAGGAAUCUGCCUGGUAGUGGGGGACAACGUUUCGAAAGGAACGCUAAUACCGCAUACGUCCUACGGGAGAAAGUGGGGGAUCUUCGGACCUCACGCUAUCAGAUGAGCCUAGGUCGGAUUAGCUAGUUGGUGGGGUAACGGCUCACCAAGGCGACGAUCCGUAACUGGUCUGAGAGGAUGAUCAGUCACACUGGAACUGAGACACGGUCCAGACUCCUACGGGAGGCAGCAGUGGGGAAUAUUGGACAAUGGGCGAAAGCCUGAUCCAGCCAUGCCGCGUGUGUGAAGAAGGCCCUCGGGUCGUAAAGCACUUUAAGCUGGGAGGAAGGGUUGUAACCUAAUACGUUGCAGCUUUGACGUUACCAGCAGAAUAAGCACCGGCUAACUCUGUGCCAGCAGCCGCGGUAAUACAGAGGGUGCAAGCGUUAAUCGGAAUUACUGGGCGUAAAGCGCGCGUAGGUGGCUUGGUAAGUUGAAUGUGAAAUCCCCGGGCUCAACCUGGGAACUGCAUCCAAAACUGCCUGGCUAGAGUACGGUAGAGGGUGGUGGAAUUUCCUGUGUAGCGGUGAAAUGCGUAGAUAUAGGAAGGUACACCAGUGGCGAAGGCGACCACCUGGACUGA
rnacentral:rRNA from 1 species